rnacentral:miRNA from 1 species
GACCCUCUCAAAUUUUUCCACAUCUUUCUUGAACUGGACACAAUACUCUGGUCACAGAACUGGGCACAAUACUCUGAGGCCCAAUCAGUGCAGAAUAGAUCAGA